GCAGCUCAUUUGGUAAAGCCUGAGCCUCUUAAUCUCAGGGGUGUGGUUCGAGCCCCAUGUUGAGCA